GGUUUCAUAGUGUAGUGGUUAUCACAUCUGCUUUAUGCGCAGAAGGUCCUGGGUAUGAGCCCCAGUGGAACUA